rnacentral:rRNA from 1 species
CCUAUAUAAACAUUAUACAACUUUCAGCAACGGAUCUCUUGGCUCUCGCAUCGAUGAAGAACGCAGCGAAAUGCGAUAAGUAAUGUGAAUUGCAGAAUUCAGUGAAUCAUCGAAUCUUUGAACGCACCUUGCGCUCCUUGGUAUUCCGAGGAGCAUGCCUGUUUGAGUGUCAUUAAAUCAUCAA